rnacentral:rRNA from 1 species
AUGCAAGUCGAGCGAGAAAGUGGAGCAAUCCAUGAGUACAGCGGCGUACGGGUGAGUAACACGUGGGUAAUCUGCCUUUUAGUGGGGAAUAACCCUGGGAAACCGGGGCUAAUACCGCAUAAUCCUGUGAAGGGAAAGCAGCAAUGCGCUGAAAGAGGAGCCCGCGGCCGAUUAGCUAGUUGGUGGGGUAAUGGCUCACCAAGGCGGUGAUCGGUAGCCGGCCUGAGAGGGCACACGGCCACACUGGCACUGAAACACGGGCCAGACUCCUACGGGAGGCAGCAGUGGGGAAUCUUGCACAAUGGAGGCAACUCUGAUGCAGCGACGCCGCGUGAGCGAUGAAGCCCUUCGGGGUGUAAAGCUCUUUCGGCAGGGACGAUAAUGACGGUACCUGAAGAAGAAGCUGCGGCUAACUACGUGCCAGCAGCCGCGGUAAUACGUAGGCAGCGAGCGUUGUUCGGAAUUACUGGGCGUAAAGAGUGUGUAGGCGGUGCUCUAAGUUCGGUGUGAAAUCUCUCGGCUUAACUGGGAGGGUGCGCCGGAAACUGGAGUGCUCGAACGUGGGAGAGGAAAGCGGAAUUCCUGGUGUAGCGGUGAAAUGCGUAGAUAUCAGGAGGAACACCUGCGGUGUAGACGGCUUUCUGGACCAUUGUUGACGCUGAGACACGAA